UUGGGGGUUGAAGUAGGAUGAGGGGAGGAAUUCCGUCCAAAUCAACAUGGCCAGCGAGAUGUCCCUACAAACAAAAGGCAACGGGGGGAUAUAAACACGAACCAUUCACCUCCAUCAGCUAUAGCAUCGCCAUCAUGAUCGCUGGAUGAAGCAUUUCCAGAUUUCUUAGCUCAGAUGUUCCUCAUGACGGCGCGGUGAGGUGGGCAGAGGAGACGUUACAAUCCCCGUGGCAUCCUACGUAGUCAGAAAUGAGAGCUCAGGGAAGGGGAAAAGUGAGUGGCCCAAACACUUUGACAGCGGUGACCCGGAGACAAAAUUUCAUAGACGUUCGUUCAUUUAACUCUGUUUCAACGAGUGAUGAUUCACUGAUUAUGUACCAGUCCUGUUUCUUUGUGAAUACAUCGGGGAAAUUUAAAAAAAAAAAAAAAAAAGAGUCCCCGCCCUCCUGUAUGUAGCUCUCUACUGGAGGAACAGACAAGUGCACCGAUAAAAGAUACAAUUACAAAUGGUGAGGAGUACCGGAAAAGAGCUAAAAAGGUCCAGGGAGAAAAAAGCGGUUGGAAGGAGAUGUGCUUGAUACCGGGAGGGCUUUCUCCAAUAUUUUGACGUUUGAGCAGAUGUGAUGAAUUAUUUCACACCUUUUCCUCGCUACUGAAAGCUUCCCAACCUCCACUCUUUGCUCUCAAUUUUUGCUUCAUUCCUCAUGGAAAAAAAUUAAAAGAUAUAACAGCCAUGAACUCCCUUAUCUUCUCACCAUCAAAACUAUUAUUACAGACAUAGUAACAUUUGGGUUACUAUGAAUGAAGUGUCCUUGCGCCUAUGAAUGCCAGUCCCUCUACCAGUGACCUGGAUUCCUUUCCCUCCCACAUUCCUAAAAACUUUACUCCUACAAUCACCUCGCCCUCCAGCAUCAUAACUUUUUCCCCUAUUAGAUUACUUCUAUCAGGAUACAAACAUACUGAAAUUCCUCCCAUCUAAAACAAACCUCCCUUGACUCCAAAAUCUCCUCCAGAACUGCCCUAUUUCUCCCUCUUCAGUGCAUAAAUUCUCAGGUUUUUCAAGAUCUCCCAACAGUGAUUGUUCUCCUUUCCUCAUUCCCUUCUCCUACCACAUUCCCUUCUCAGCCCACUCCGAUCCAGCCUUGACUUCUCUCAUCGAGAUCACUUAUCAAGAUUAUUAAUAAUCUCUGUUUCCAAAACCACCUGUCAAUUCUGUAUUAUCUAAAAUGACCUCACAGCAGAACUGCAAUAACUAAAUAAAUCUUAAAAAAAAAAAAAAAAA